UGCAGAUAGGAUGAGAAGGAGAAUUAAAUGCAACGGGACAGGAGAGAUGACAAAAUUAGUUAUACGUGAAAGGAGAAUAUGGAAUAAAAGAAAUGGAGCGAUGAUUGUCUGAAAAAGGAGAAGAGUCGUCGAUGAACUGCGACUGAAGGGAAACAAAACGAUGGAGCAGGUGGAGAUCAUGAAGAACUCAGCGAGACAGUGUCAUCGCCGCUCGCAGCAGUGCAGCAGAUCAGCAGGAGGCCGAGAGAGACGGGAGACGGACGAAGACGGACAGAGUUGGAGACAAAACAACUGAGGGGAGAGAUAAGGACAAACAAGCAGGAUGUCAACUCGUGUUCUCAGGGUUCACAGCUGAGAAGUGAUACAUGGCUCAGUGAGAGUCGGAGCCCUGAGGGGUGGAGAGCGUUUCUGUGGCCUCGGUUGAUCUUCUCCAGGCUCGUGCACUCGAACCCCCGACCUUCUGUGCCACAGUCUGCGGCGUAACCCGCUGAGCCGUACCGGACGUACCAGACACGUGGGAGAACAGGUGACGAGGCGAGAAAAGCAUUUUGACGAGACGCGCGGAGGUGAUGUGGCGCGAGUCGCCUGCAGAUUCCAGAGAAAAGCCUGAAGCGUAGACCGCAGCCUCGGUCGACCUCGUUCUCGUCUGAUUCCCUCGCCGCGCCUGGGCCGCAUGUCCCCCCCGCAUAAAAAAAAAGACUACAUGACUUCAUCAACCAGAUAGAGAUUCGCUUUGAUUUGAUUUACUUCUGUCACAGAAAAUAAUGGAGACGCAGAGAGAAACUGUUUCCUCCUUUUUUGGCUCCUCACUCCACAAGCUCCGGAUCUCAGGAAAAAAAAACACUCCCUUUGCUUAUCACCAACCACCACCUCCAGACCUCAACCCCCCCGAUCCCUCGCCGUCCGCCCGUCUGGCUCAAUGACAAUCAAAGGUCAAAUGCCCCCCCCCGUCCC